rnacentral:misc_RNA from 1 species
UGAACAUACAAAUUUUUCCCUGCCUGAUGUUAAGUAACUACAGGUACCAGGUAGACUACAAGUCUACAACUACAACAUUACAUAACAGGGAUGGAACAAUUACACUCAAAUGAACACUUGAACAGCAAGAGUCGGCCUGGCUAAUCAUAGCCCCAGUAAACCAUAACAACAGUUAAAUCAUCCGUCCAAGAUUGUCCACCCUCAAGAAGUGCAUGUUGUGCAAAUUCCCCAAUAUAUCCUCGGAUGCAUCAACAUCGAUAUGAAAGUUGCCGAUAUCUUCAACUCCGCCAGCACCGCUAACAUUAACCCUACCAGUGCCAUCUGUAGCAUGUGCUGCCUCAUUUAUGUUAAUUCUCCUCACCUCCUCGGCCCUUCCAUCUCCAGCGUUCUCAUCCCCAGCCCAGCCUUCCUGCCCGAGCAUCGAAGAAUCAAUGCCACUCUCCACACCAAGAGAACGUCUCCUGAGCCCUACCCCGACCUUCUUGCGGGCCGUCGUCUUCUUGAUCCUACCUCUAGAAGAGCCACCACGAGCACUGUCAUUCUGUGGCUGCCUACCACCAUGGUUUCCGUGACUCCUACCACCACCACCUUGGCCACUGGGAGCCGUGUUCCAAGGGAACAUCUUGUAGAAUGGCUUCCAGUUGGCACCCAGGUCGGCCGCGUUGGGAAAUCCGAGGGGGAAGAACCCCCAGGCGCAGUGGUACAUUUCAGUGCCCGGCACAACCGUGGGUGGGGUCGGGAGCUCAGAAGCCACGAAUCCGCGGCGGCAGCCCGCGUUGGGGCACUUGAGGGCGCGCCCGAUCAGGCUGCGCGGGUACUGGUGCACGUAGCAGCAGAAGGGGCACGCCGUCCAGAACUCCGGGGUGUCGGAGGCGGGAGCGGCCGCGGCGGGAUACUGGGAGGAGUAAGGGGUACCAGUGGCGGGAUCGGCGGGCGGCGGGGGGCGGCGAGAGGGAUCCGAGAGGAAGGCGUAGGCGUCGUUGACGAGGCGGAGCGCCAUCUCGGCUCCCGGGUGCGGGUUGCUGGGACCGAGGAGGAGCGCGAGGCGGCGGAAGGCGCGGGACACGGCGGCCUGGUCGGGGCUGACUCCGGGCGGCAGCUGGAGGAUGGCGAGCGGGUCCGGCUGGCCCGAGGUGCCCAUGAACUGGGAAGCGAGGAGGACGUCGGCGACGGCGAGGAGUUCGUCAACGCCGGCGAGGAGCGGGUUCGCCUCCACCGACCGCUCCGCGAAGCGCUUGCAGCCGACGAGGUCGCGCGCCGCGAGGAGCUUCUCGGCGAUCUCCAGCCAGCGCUCCGCCUGCGCGGGGCCGUCGCUGGCGCCUCCGCCGCCCCCGCUCACGCUCCCGCCGGUGGAGAAGUCCAUGGUUUGGGGGAGGAAAAGGUGGAUGCUGUCGGAGGCAGCUGGUUUGGUUUUGGGGAGGGGGAAGAUCCUGCUGCCCGAGGGGCUCUUGACUGGCGACUGUCUGUCAGUCCGAGAGUAUUUUGUUGGGCAGCACAUUUAAUUUUAAG